CGCAAUGCAGUACUCAGCUACUAUCUAACUAAGUGAUUUAGCUAAAUUAUUUGUAUAAAAUUCUACGAAAUUUAACAAACAAGAUGUCACCGUGUCCUAUAUAUUUGUAUUUGAUGACUGGGAUUUUAUUACUUGCCAGCAGUAUACUAAGAAUUAGUGGAAAGCCUUUUGAAGGAGAUGCGAGUGCAGAACAAUUGUUCUCAAAGACAAAUGAUGGAAAGUUGUCUGCAGAAGGAAAUAAUCACACAGUUAAGCAUGUGAUAAAUAACUAUAGAGGAAAUGGAGAUUCUACGCAAGCGGAGAAUAGUAUGCGUCGGAAGAAUAUUGAAAUUAUGACGAAACAGUUUUUUGACGAUUCAUAUUCAAGUUCAAUUGAAAGCCUUUCAGUAUCUUCCGGGGAAAGUUCAAUGGAAAGCAUAUCAUCAUUUUCUUCCGAUAUUUCUAGAAGACCAGAAUUUAAUGAAGGCUUUGUAUCCCAUGAAUGGAGCAAGUAAAAGGGACUCAAAAUGUUAAGUAAUGAUGGAGAAAAGCUAAAUGUAUUAUUCAAAGAUGUGUAGAUGUGUAUUUAUUAUUAUAUCUUUUAUUAUCUAAUAAUGCUUUGAUUCAAUCUUCAAAUUUGUUGAAUUGCGAUAAUACUUUAUUUAAAGAAAAGUUAUUCAGAAAGCGCUUAUUAUGUUACUAAGCAAAUUACAUAUAUUUAAUAAGCUUAACUACUUCGUUUGAUGAGUGAACAUAAUUAAGCCUCCACAACUGGUCAAA